rnacentral:rRNA from 1 species
UAAUUUAGAUUGAGUUAAUAGCUUCAUAGUAAGGUGAGGGGGUGAAAUCCGAGCAGUUAAUUGAAUGGAGCUUGUAAGUUGAGAGUUAAAUUGAUCGGUUUAGAAGCUUAAAAAGUGGAAAGAUAAACGAGGAUUAGAUACCCUUUUAUAUUCUUUAGUAAAAUAGAGAAGCCUGGGUAUUAUUAGUUAUGAGCUUUAAAUCCAAAGAAUUUGGCAGUAUUUAAGUCUAGUUAGAGGAACCUGUACUAUAAACGAUAAACCACGAUUAUCUUUCUUUGUUUUGUAUAUCAGCAUGUAUACCGUCAUUAUUAAGUGGUCUUAUUAAAGAAAACUGUAAUAAAAACUUUUUAAUAUAUUAGAUCAAGGUGCAGCUUAUAGCAAAGUGAGUUAUGGGUUACAAUUCAUUAAAUGAAAACGGAUAGGUGCUUGAAAAUAGGAGCUUAAAGGAGGAUUUAAUUGUAAAGAUGGUAAAUUAAGCUAAUUUGAUAAAGCACUUAAAUAUGCACAAAUCGCCCGUCGUUCUCAUUUA